GAUGAAGAACGUAGCGAAAUGCGAUAAGUAGUGUGAAUUGCAGAAUUCAGUGAAUCAUCGAAUCUUUGAACGCACAUUGCGCCCCCUGGCAUUCCGGGGGGCAUGCCUGUCCGAGCGUCAUUGCUGCCCUUCAAGCCCGGCUUGUGUGUUGGGUCGUCGUCCCCCCCGGGGGACGGGCCCGAAAGGCAGCGGCGGCACCGCGUCCGGUCCUCGAGCGUAUGGGGCUUUGUCACCCGCUCGAUUAGGGCCGGCCGGGCGCCAGCCGGCGUCUCCAACCUUCUAUUUUACCAGGUUGACCUCGGAUCAGGUAGGGAUACCCGCUGAACUUAAGCAUAUCAAUAAGCGGAGGA
rnacentral:misc_RNA from 1 species